rnacentral:rRNA from 1 species
UACAGAGGGGGCAAGCGUUGUUCGGAAUUACUGGGCGUAAAGGGCGCGUAGGCGGCCUGCUAAGUCGAACGUGAAAUCCCCGGGCUCAACCCGGGAACUGCGUCCGAUACUGGUUGGCUUGAAUCCGGGAGAGGGAUGCGGAAUUCCAGGUGUAGCGGUGAAAUGCGUAGAUAUCGAGAGGAACACCUGCGGCGAAGGCGGGUUGCUGGGCUGACACUGACGCUGAGGCGCGAAAGCCAGGGGAGCGAACGGG